rnacentral:rRNA from 1 species
CCUACGGGAGGCAGCAGUGGGGGAUAUUGCACAAUGGGGGAAACCCUGAUGCAGCGACGCCGCGUGGGUGAAGAAGCGCCUCGGCGCGUAAAGCCCUGUUAGCAGGGAAGAAAAUGACGGUACUUGAAGAAGAAGCCCCGGCGAACUACGUGCCAGCAGCCGCGGGAAUACGUAGGGGGCAAGCGUUAUCCGGAUUUACUGGGGGUAAAGGGGGCGCAGGCGGCGAUGCAAGCCAGGAGUGAAAGCCCGGGGCCCAACCCCGGGACUGCUCUUGGAACUGCGUGGCUAGAGUGCAGGAGGGGCAGGCGGAAUUCCUGGUGUAGGAGUGAAAUCCGUAGAGAUCUGGAGGAACAUCAGUGGCGAAGGCGACUAUCUGGCACAUAACUGACGCUGAGGAGCGAAAGCGUGGGUAGCAAACAGGAUUAGAUACCCCAGUAGUC